GUGGGGAAUAUUGCGCAAUGGGCGAAAGCCUGACGCAGCGACGCCGCGUGAGUGAAGAAGGUUUUCGGAUCGUAAAGCUCUUUCGUUAGGGACGAACGUGCUCUUUGUGAAUAAUGAGGAGUAAUGACGGUACCUAAAUAAGAAGCCACGGCUAACUACGUGCCAGCAGCCGCGGUAAUACGUAGGUGGCAAGCGUUGUCCGGAAUUAUUGGGCGUAAAGCGCGCGCAGGCUGGAUAUCAAGUCUGUCUUACAAGUGCGAGGCUCAACCUCGUGAGGGGACAGAAACUGGUAUUCUUGAGUGUCGGAGAGGAAAGUGGAAUUCCAAGUGUAGCGGUGAAAUGCGUAGAGAUUUGGAAGAACACCAGUGGCGAAGGCGACUUUCUGGACGAUGUCUGACGCUGAGGCGCGAAAGCUAGGGGAGCGAACGGGAUUAGAUACCCGAGGAGUCC
rnacentral:rRNA from 1 species